UACGAAGGGUGCAAGCGUUGUUCGGAAUUACUGGGCGUAAAGCGCGCGUAGGCGGCUUGCUAAGUCAGACGUGAAAGCCCUGGGCUCAACCCGGGAAUUGCGUUUGAUACUGGCGAGCUUGAGAUUCAGAGAGGUGAGUGGAAUUCCUAGUGUAGAGGUGAAAUUCGUAGAUAUUGGGAAGCACACCAGUGGCGCCGGCGGCUCCCUUUCUGAACACUGACGCUAAAGCCCAAAAGCGUGGUUAGCAAACAGG
rnacentral:rRNA from 1 species